AAUUUAUUUAUUUAUAUAUAUAUAUAUAUAUAUAUAUAAUUAAUUUAAUCAAAAAUAAUUUAAAAAAUAUUAUGUUUAAAUAAAAUUAAUAUUUAAUUAUAAUUUUAAAAAUAAUUAAAUAAAUAAAAAAAAAUUAAAUUUUUAUUUAUACCUUUUGUAUCAGGGAUAAUUAAUAUAUAAUUUAAAUUAAAUUUUCUCGAAAUAAAAAAAAUUAAAUAAAUAAUUUAUUUUAUUGUAAUAUUAAUAUAAAUAAUUUUUAUUUAGAAACUAUAUAUUAAACAAUUUUUAUUUUAUCUAGUUAUUUAAAAAAUGAAUUUAAUUCAAAUAUAAAUUUAUUUUAUUGUUAUUAUAUACUAUAAAUUAAUUUUAUAUAAAAAAUUUUAGGGAUUAACUUAAAAUUUUUAAUUAAAAUUAAUAUUUAAAAAUUAAUAAAAUAUAAAAUUAAUAAUAAUUUUUAUUAAUAAAAAUUUAAUAAUUUAUUAUAAUUAUUUAAUAAAUUUAAAUUUAAAUUUAAUUAAAUAUUAAAUAAACUUAACAAACUUUAAAUUAAUUUAUAUAAUGAUUAUAUAAGUAAAUUAAAAAUUAUAUUAAAUACUUAAAUUAAAAAAAGAUUUUUAUAAGGAACUAGGCAAAUUUAUAUUCAAAUGUUUAACAAAAACAUUUCUUACUGAAUUGAAUUUUAAGUAAAAUCUGCUCAAUGAUUAUUUAUUAAAUAGCUGCAGUAUAAAUAACUGUACAAAGGUAGCAUAAUAAUUAGUUUUUUAAUUAAAAACUAGAAUGAAAGAUUAAAUGAAAUAUAAACUGUCUCUUUAAAAUUAAUAAUUAAAAUUAUUUUUAAGUUAAAAUACUUAACUAAAAUUAAAAGACGAGAAGACCCUAUAGAAUUUUAUAAUUAAUUAUAAAAAUUAUUUUAAUAAUAUAUUAAUAUUAUUAUUAUUAAUUAUUUAAUUGGGGCAAUUUUAAAAUUAAAUUAAUUUUUUAUAUAAAUAUUAACAUUAAUUUAUGAAUAUAAAAACUUUAAAUUAAAAAAUAAUAAUAAAUUACCUUAGGGAUAACAGCAUAAUUUUUUUUUUAAGAUCAUAUUUAAAAAUAAGUUUAUGACCUCGAUGUUGAAUUAAGAUAUAAUUAAAAUGAAAAUUUUUUAUAAUUUAAGUCUGUUCGACUUUUAAAAUCUUACAUGAUUUGAGUUAAGAUCGGCGUAAGCCAGAUCAGAUUCUAUCUUUAAAAAAAAUUAAUAAUUUUGUACGAAAGGAAUUAUUAUUAAAAAUAAUUUUUAUUUUUAAAUAAAUAU
rnacentral:rRNA from 1 species